GUUAAGUUGCAGGGUAUAGACCCGAAACCCGGUGAUCUAGCCAUGGGCAGGUUGAAGGUUGGGUAACACUAACUGGAGGACCGAACCGACUAAUGUUGAAAAAUUAGCGGAUGACCUGUGGCUGGGGGUGAAAGGCCAAUCAAACCGGGAGAUAGCUGGUUCUCCCCGAAAGCUAUUUAGGUAGCGCCUCGUGAAUUCAUCUCCGGGGGUAGAGCACUGUUUCGGCUAGGGGGCCAUCCCGGCUUACCAACCCGAUGCAAACUGCGAAUACCGGAGAAUGUUAUCACGGGAGACACACGGCGGGUGCUAACGUCCGUCGUGAAGAGGGAAACAACCCAGACCGCCAGCUAAGGUCCCAAAGUCAUGGUUAAGUGGGAAACGAUGUGGGAAGGCCCAGACAGCCAGGAUGUUGGCUUAGAAGCAGCCAUCAUUUAAAGAAAGCGUAAUAGCUCACUGGUCGAGUCGGCCUGCGCGGAAGAUGUAACGGGGCUAAACCAUGCACCGAAGCUGCGGCAGCGAACGUAUCACUUAAAGCGAUUCAGCGGGUUACGAUUGACGGAGCGAAGCGACGUCAAAGCGUAUACAAAGUCGAGUCGGUUUAAGGAUACGUUCGUUGGGUAGGGGAGCGUUCUGUAAGCCUGUGAAGGUGGCCUGUGAGGGUUGCUGGAGGUAUCAGAAGUGCGAAUGCUGACAUAAGUAACGAUAAAGCGGGUGAAAAGCCCGCUCGCCGGAAGACCAAGGGUUCCUGUCCAACGUUAAUCGGGGCAGGGUGAGUCGACCCCUAAGGCGAGGCCGAAAGGCGUAGUCGAUGGGAAACGGGUUAAUAUUCCCGUACUUGGUGUUACUGCGAAGGGGGGACGGAGAAGGCUAUGUUGGCCGGGCGACGGUUGUCCCGGUUUAAGCGUGUAGGUGUGUGUUCCAGGUAAAUCCGGUUCACUUUAACACUGAGGCGUGAUGACGAGGCACUACGGUGCUGAAGCAACAAAUGCCCUGCUUCCAGGAAAAGCCUCUAAGCAUCAGGUAACAUCAAAUCGUACCCCAAACCGACACAGGUGGUCAGGUAGAGAAUACCAAGGCGCUUGAGAGAACUCGGGUGAAGGAACUAGGCAAAAUGGUGCCGUAACUUCGGGAGAAGGCACGCUGACACGUAGGUGAAGUGAUUUACUCACGGAGCUGAAGUCAGUCGAAGAUACCAGCUGGCUGCAACUGUUUAUUAAAAACACAGCACUGUGCAAACACGAAAGUGGACGUAUACGGUGUGACGCCUGCCCGGUGCCGGAAGGUUAAUUGAUGGGGUCAGCGCAAGCGAAGCUCCUGAUCGAAGCCCCGGUAAACGGCGGCCGUAACUAUAACGGUCCUAAGGUAGCGAAAUUCCUUGUCGGGUAAGUUCCGACCUGCACGAAUGGCGUAAUGAUGGCCAGGCUGUCUCCACCCGAGACUCAGUGAAAUUGAACUCGCUGUGAAGAUGCAGUGUACCCGCGGCAAGACGGAAAGACCCCGUGAACCUUUACUAUAGCUUGACACUGAACAUUGAGCCUUGAUGUGUAGGAUAGGUGGGAGGCUUUGAAGUGUGGACGCCAGUCUGCAUGGAGCCGACCUUGAAAUACCACCCUUUAAUGUUUGAUGUUCUAACGUGGACCCGUAAUCCGGGUUGCGGACAGUGUCUGGUGGGUAGUUUGACUGGGGCGGUCUCCUCCUAAAGAGUAACGGAGGAGCACGAAGGUUGGCUAAUCCUGGUCGGACAUCAGGAGGUUAGUGCAAUGGCAUAAGCCAGCUUGACUGCGAGCGUGACGGCGCGAGCAGGUGCGAAAGCAGGUCAUAGUGAUCCGGUGGUUCUGAAUGGAAGGGCCAUCGCUCAACGGAUAAAAGGUACUCCGGGGAUAACAGGCUGAUACCGCCCAAGAGUUCAUAUCGACGGCGGUGUUUGGCACCUCGAUGUCGGCUCAUCACAUCCUGGGGCUGAAGUAGGUCCCAAGGGUAUGGCUGUUCGCCAUUUAAAGUGGUACGCGAGCUGGGUUUAGAACGUCGUGAGACAGUUCGGUCCCUAUCUGCCGUGGGCGCUGGAGAACUGAGGGGGGCUGCUCCUAGUACGAGAGGACCGGAGUGGACGCAUCACUGGUGUUCGGGUUGUCAUGCCAAUGGCACUGCCCGGUAGCUAAAUGCGGAAGAGAUAAGUGCUGAAAGCAUCUAAGCACGAAACUUGCCCCGA
rnacentral:rRNA from 1 species